GCUGUUUCAGCCGAUGGAAACAGAAAGCUAUAUCGCUUUCGCCGAGACACAAGCUCUGAUGAUCCUGCCUUUUUUGAGGGGCUCUUUGUGGCUGAAGACGUUGCGGUGUCUAGAUUUGUGGAAACCAUACAGAAAGCAGUGAGAAAUGCAAGUUUCAAUCAUAACUUGACCAAAAAGUUGUCACAAAAAGAACCAUAUAUAUCCAUAUAUGUCCGACCUUGAUUUCCUCCUUGACUUCUACCAACCAGACACAGGGAAAAGGCACAUGUGGGGACUCCCAGUGGACAGCAGCGAGGGAGACAUCAAGGAGGGCUUCCAAAUUGGAUGAAGAGGGGAUGGAGGUUGCAGUGUGUCGCCACGGAUUCCUUCUGAAAGCUCUUAAU